GGGUAUUACGGUACAGAGUCAGUGUGGAGGCUAUAUACAGGGUGUUACGGUACAGAGUCAAUGUGGAGGCUAUAUACAGGGUGUUACGGUACAGAGUCAAUGUGGAGGCUAUAUACAGGGUAUUACGGUACAGAGUCAAUGUGGAGGCUAUAUACAGGGUAUUACGGUACAGAGUCAAUGUGGAGGCUAUAUACAGGGUAUUACGGUACAGAGUCAAUGUGGAGGCUAUAUACAGGGUAUUACGGUACAGAGUCAAUGUGGAGGCUAUAUACAGAGUAUUACGGUACAGAGUCAAUGUGGAGGCUAUAUACAGAGUAUUACGGUACAGAGUCAAUGUGGAGGCUAUAUACAGAGGUAUUACGGUACAGAGUCAGUGUGGAGGCUAUAUACAGGGUAUUACGGUACAGAGUCAAUGUGGAGGCUAUAUACAGAGUAUUACGGUACAGAGUCAAUGUGGAGGCUAUAUACAGGGUAUUAUGGUACAGAGUCA
ensembl:lncRNA